UGUAAUUUGUGUGAAAGUUAUAUUUUUGUGUAAGUAGUUAUGAUAAACGAAGCAGAGCAUAAAUGUUCAUCAUAAAAUAUUACACCACUCAUUUCUUUAUAUUAAACUAUGAUAAUCUUAAUUUGGAUAGUAAUUUUAUGAUUUAUAUGAUAGGUAAUUGCAUUUUAAUCACCAAUUUUACGGGUUUUUUUUUAAAUCUACAACCUUUACAAAUGUACUCUACAUUAAAUAUGCAUUGAAAAGUUCACUCAUCUUUUAACUGUACGUAUGCAGAGUGUAUUAUAGGAUGACUCUGUCUAUUCGUUUUAAAAAAGAAACCAAUUCACGACUGCAUCUUAUAUUUUGUAUUUUACUUCAAUAAAACUUGUAGAACAUGU
rnacentral:misc_RNA from 1 species